GACGUACUUGUACUGAUUGAGAUUUUAACACGAAGUGAGUGGCGAACGGGUGAGUAACACGUGGGUAACCUGCCCAGAAGUAGGGGAUAACACCUGGAAACAGAUGCUAAUACCGUAUAACAGAGAAAACCGCAUGGUUUUCUUUUAAAAGAUGGCUCUGCUAUCACUUCUGGAUGGACCCGCGGCGUAUUAGCUAGUUGGUGAGGUAAAGGCUCACCAAGGCAGUGAUACGUAGCCGACCUGAGAGGGUAAUCGGCCACAUUGGGACUGAGACACGGCCCAGACUCCUACGGGAGGCAGCAGUAGGGAAUCUUCCACAAUGGACGCAAGUCUGAUGGAGCAACGCCGCGUGAGUGAAGAAGGGUUUCGGCUCGUAAAGCUCUGUUGUUAAAGAAGAACGUGGGUAAGAGUAACUGUUUACCCAGUGACGGUAUUUA
rnacentral:rRNA from 1 species